CUACGUACGUGCGUGGACAAAUCGCCAGCUUACAACCUUUAUUAAAAUAAUAAUUAGCUCAAAAUAAAAGAAUCAUGUUAUUCUAAGAUUAUGAAUAUAAUGUAUAAAUAGAUGUGUUGAAUAUAAGAGAGCAUAGAUAUACAAGAUUUUAAAAGAAUGGAAAAUUCUUAUUGGUGUACUAAGUAACCAGUAGUUGUAUAAAGUAUGAACUAUACUGAAAGUAUGAUGAAAAAUGGUAAUUCUUGCUAUGUUAGUUGCAAUAUUCAAGACAACUCAGAAUAUGAAGAUUUUUCUUCUUUGUUACCCUUGAAUAAUGAGGAAGACAUAAAAAUAUUUGAAUAUAAACUUACUGAUGUCUCCUUCAAAACAAAAGCCAUUAUGGAAUUGACAAGAUUAAACAGAAAUACUUUGCCGAGCACUGUCUGCAACAUUAUGGGCUAUUUAUUUUGUGAUGCUGUUUUAACAUUGUAUAGUUACAAAUAAAUAUUGUUUAAAUUAACUUUUACUUUUUGUAAAAAUUUUUUAAUUUCUUUAUUAAAAAUCUUUAAAAGUUGUAUUUUCUGAUUUUAUAAAAUCAGAAUUUAAAAAGAAAAUGUUUUAAUGUGAUGAUAUAAUAUAAU